CUGCGUGCAAGUGCGUCUGUUCAGGUGGGUGGCCGCGGCUGCCUCUCCCCGGUGCCUCGCUCGCGACUUUGGUCGCCUCAUCGCUCCUCUCGGCGGAGAGAACCGCAGAGCCCAGGCGGUCCGCCAUCCCCCCCGACCCGCGUCGCGCCGCUGCACAACCCCUCUGCUGUGCCCGCUCCUCGGGGCUGGCCUCCUGGGCAGCGUCGGGAGCCGGCCCUGGCGCCUCGGCCGCUGCCGGGGGACGCAGGCAUGGACCGCUAGGUGACGGCGGGGCGCCCGAGGAGGGACCUGGCACUCGGGACGGUGACGGGACUUAAACGGGCUACCGCGGAGGAGGACUGCGAACCGCGGCGGCAUCCCGGUCCCCAGCACAUUGGAGCGGAAGCACAUUGCCCGGGGCACCAUGACGCUGAGGCUCUUGGAGGACUGGUGCAGGGGGAUGGACAUGAGCCCUAGGAAAGCGCUGUUGAUUGCCGGCAUCCCCCAGACCUGCCAUGUGGCCGAGAUCGAGGAGGCGCUGCGCGCUGGGCUGGCUCCCUUGGGCGAGCACCGCCUGCUCGGGAGGAUGUUCCGGAGGGACGAGAACAGGACCGUAGCCUUAGUCGGGCUCACGGAGGAGACGAGCUUUGCCCUGGUCCCCAAGGAGAUCCCUGGGAAGGGGGGUAGCUGGAGGGUGAUCUUUAAGCCCCCUGACCCAGACAACGAAUUUUUAAGCAGAUUAACGGCCUUCUUAGAAGGAGAGGGCAUGACCUUGGCUGAGCUGACCAGAGCUUUGGGGUAUGGAAACGACCCCUUUGACCUAGACCAGAACAUGAUCCCAGAAGUGCGGGCCCCCAUGCUGGCCCAGGCGUUAGACGAGGCCCUUCAGCCUGCCCUGCAGUACGUGAACUACAAAAAGCUGAGGGUGUUCUCGGGUGGCGAUCCUCCAGGGCCCGAAGAAGAAACCUUUGAAUCCUGGCUGUUCCAUACCACCCAGAUGAUGAAGACCUGGCAGGUGUCGGAUGCCGAGAAGAGAAGGCGGUUGCUAGAGAGCCUUAGAAGCCCAGCCUAUGAUGUCAUCCGUGUCCUCAAGAUAAGCAACCCUUUAAUUACGGUCCCCGAAUGCCUGAAGGCUCUUGAGCAGGUUUUUGGGGUUAUUGAUAAUCCUAGGGAGUUGCAGGUCCGAUACCUGAGGACUUACCAGAAGGAGGGAGAAAAGUUGUCUGCUUACGUACUCAGGUUGGAGCCUCUGUUACAGAAACUGGUGGAGAGAGGAGCAGUGGAGAGAGAAGUUGUGAAUCAGGCCCGCGUAGACCAGAUCCUUGCCGGAGCUGGGGACAAAACACUGCGCCGGCGGCUGCCUCUGCCCGAGGAUGGCUCAGCCCCUGGCUUGUUCGAGCUACUGGAGCUGAUAAAGGAUGAAGAGGCAACGGAGGCAGAGGAGGAGGAGGCCCUUCUCCAGGCAGAAUUAUUAGAGGGACAUUUCACCUGAAUCUUAGGGAACCAGAAAAGGGACAGUGACAGCGAGCAGAGCAUGGAGGUAGAAUAAUCCAUAUACUACAGUGGUAGACAUUCACCAAGCCCUACCUUGUGAUGCCAAGUAACUCAUUUUUGCACAGUUCUCAGUACAAAUCCAUUGUCAUUUGUGUGCCUACUUAAGGUCUCCUAAGUGUAUCAUUGACUAGGAAGACUGUAGUUCUGCACUGGUAUUUAUAUAUUUUAAUUCAUUCUGGUGAGUUUUUUAUCAUACAAAACUGGACAAUAUUCUAUCACUGCAUAUGUGCACUGCUCAAAACUACAAAGUUCUAUCACUGCAUAUGUGCACUGCUCAAAACUACAAAGUUCUAUCACUGCAUAUGUGCACUGCUCAAAACUACAAAGUUCUAUCACUGCAUAUGUGCACUGCUCAAAACUACAAAGUUCUAUCACUGCAUAUGUGCACUGCUCAAAACUACAAAGUUCUAUCACUGCAUAUGUGCGCUGCUCAAAACCACAAAGUUGCCAUAACCAGUUUGGCUCAGUGGAUAGAGCGUCGGCCUGCGGACUGAAGGGUCCCAGGUUCGAUUCCGGACAAGGGCAUGAACCUUGGUUGCGGGCACAUCCCUAGUAGGGAGUGUGCAGGAGGCAGCUGAUCCAUGUUUCUCUCUCUUUGAUGUUUCUCUCUAUCCCUCUUCCUUCC